rnacentral:rRNA from 1 species
GGAGGGGGGCAAGCGUUGUUCGGAAUUACUGGGCGUAAAGGGCGCGUAGGCGGACAAUCAAGUCAGAGGGUGAAAGCCCUGGGGCUCAACCUGGGAACUGCCUUUGAAACUGAUAGUCUAGAGUCCGAGAGAGGAUGGCGGAAUUCCCAGUGUAGAGGUGAAAUUCGUAGAUAUUGGGAAGAACACCAGUGGCGAAGGCGGCCAUCUGGCUCGGUACUGACGCUGAGGCGCGAAAGCGUGGGGAGCAAACAGGAUUAGAUACCCUGGUAGUCCACGCCGUAAACGAUGUGUGCUAGCCGUUGGGGAACCUAGUUUCUCAGUGGCGCAGCUAACGCAUUAAGCACACCGCCUGGGGAGUACGGGUCGCAAGAUUA